rnacentral:misc_RNA from 1 species
GCUCCGUAGGUGAACCUGCGGAGGGAUCAUUACAGAGUUCAUGCCCUACCGGGUAGAUCUCCCACCCUAUGUUAUUAUUACUUUGUUGCUUUGGCGGGCCGUUAGGCUCCGGCCCGACUACCGGCCCCGGCUGGUAAGCGCCCGCCAGAGGACCCAAAACCCUGAAUAUUAGUGUCGUCUGAGUACUAUAUAAUAGUUAAAACUUUCAACAACGGAUCUCUUGGUUCCA